rnacentral:rRNA from 1 species
CGAUGAGUAGGGCGGGACACGUGGUAUCCUGUCUGAAUAUGGGGGGACCAUCCUCCAAGGCUAAAUACUCCUGACUGACCGAUAGUGAACCAGUACCGUGAGGGAAAGGCGAAAAGAACCCCGGCGAGGGGAGUGAAAAAGAACCUGAAACCGUGUACGUACAAGCAGUGGGAGCACGCUUCGGCGUGUGACUGCGUACCUUUUGUAUAAUGGGUCAGCGACUUAUAUUCUGUAGCAAGGUUAACCGAAUAGGGGAGCCGAAGGGAAACCGAGUCUUAACUGGGCGUUAAGUUGCAGGGUAUAGACCCGAAACCCGGUGAUCUAGCCAUGGGCAGGUUGAAGGUUGGGUAACACUAACUGGAGGACCGAACCGACUAAUGUUGAAAAAUUAGCGGAUGACUUGUGGCUGGGGGUGAAAGGCCAAUCAAACCGGGAGAUAGCUGGUUCUCCCCGAAAGCUAUUUAGGUAGCGCCUCGUGAAUUCAUCUCCGGGGGUAGAGCACUGUUUCGGCAAGGGGGUCAUCCCGACUUACCAACCCGAUGCAAACUGCGAAUACCGGAGAAUGUUAUCACGGGAGACACACGGCGGGUGCUAACGUCCGUCGUGAAGAGGGAAACAACCCAGACCGCCAGCUAAGGUCCCAAAGUCAUGGUUAAGUGGGAAACGAUGUGGGAAGGCCCAGACAGCCAGGAUGUUGGCUUAGAAGCAGCCAUCAUUUAAAGAAAGCGUAAUAGCUCACUGGUCGAGUCGGCCUGCGCGGAAGAUGUAACGGGGCUAAACCAUG